GCUGUAUUACAAAACAAUUUAUUCUGAUUUCUGGAUCACUUGUUCAUCAACAUAACAAGAAAAUAUUUAGCGUAAACAAAACAUGAGUUUUAUUUGAUAUAUAGUUCAAACUUACAUAAAGUGAUAUUUAUGAAGAAUCGGACACAUCACGACUAAGGCAAAUGUUUUAUUUUAUUUUAUUUAAGUGUCGGACAUAACUUUGAAGGAAAUGAAGAUUAUUGCGUCCUGGUCUAAACCUACUGCAGUACGACAAAGGGAAGGAAGGGACCAUCUAACGACAGUCUGAAGUGCCUACCACAUGACCACUCACCUAAAUCUGACUCCUACAAUAUUUCAUGGUUAAAAGAUUGUUCUGAUGUAGUCAUAAUGAGACACUGACAUAUAGAAAUCUUGUCAAUUCAACUACGAUGUAAUACAUUGAUAUAAAUGUCCCUGUUUCAUGUGUAAAAAUGUAUUUAAAAG